UAUUACCACUAGGGGUGCCUCUUUAAUGGAAAAUGGAAGCUGACCAAGAAAUUUGAAGCUUCUUAUUUACCGAAAAGGCUGAGAUUAGAGUGUGACUUUAAGACCCUUAGAACCUGAUCUGGAUUAUACCAGCGUAGGGAAGUGGAGGCGUCUAUAC
rnacentral:ncRNA from 2 species